rnacentral:rRNA from 1 species
UCCAGACUCCUACGGGAGGCAGCAGUGGGGAAUAUUGCACAAUGGGGGAAACCCUGAUGCAGCGACGCCGCGUGAAGGAUGAAGUAUUUCGGUAUGUAAACUUCUAUCAGCAGGGAAGAAAAUGACGGUACCUGACCAAGAAGCCCCGGCUAACUACGUGCCAGCAGCCGCGGUAAUACGUAGGGGGCAAGCGUUAUCCGGAAUUACUGGGUGUAAAGGGAGCGUAGACGGCUGUGCAAGUCUGGAGUGAAAGGCGGGGGCCCAACCCCCGGACUGCUCUGGAAACUGUAUGGCUGGAGUGCAGGAGAGGUAAGCGGAAUUCCUAGUGUAGCGGUGAAAUGCGUAGAUAUUAGGAGGAACACCAGUGGCGAAGGCGGCUUACUGGACUGUAACUGACGUUGAGGCUCGAAAGCGUGGGGAGCAAACAGGAUUAGAUACCCCCGUA